rnacentral:misc_RNA from 1 species
AAGUCGUAACAAGGUAACCGUAGGUGAACCUGCGGUUGGAUCAUUAAUGAAAUUUGAGGCUGCAUUUCCUCGCCGCAAGGUGAGGGAUGCAUGUCACUUACCCAACCUUUUGUGAACUGUGUUGUCUCUGGCGGCGGGGUGGAAUGGUUCAGUUUCGUACUUGGCCAUCUGCCUGUCAGCUAGGGGCCCUUGGGCCCCUUGCCGUGGACAAACCGCCAACCAUGUCCAAACCUAUGCCUUUGAUUCUUGUCUCUGAUGCAUCUGUUAAAAUUAAACAGAAACAACUUUUGGCAACGGAUCUCUUGGCUCUC